AAGCUCACCGGAGCUCCAGUGUCACGAGCUUACCGGCAAUGAUGGCUAUGGAACAAGCAACAGUGAGGGAGAAGAGAUGAGCUCGCGGAUCAGGUUAUAAGAGACCGGUCGGAUCAUUUUAAUUGAAAUUGGGUAAUUUUGGAUGAUUUGGGGUUUUUCAUCUAAUAAAGGGGUAUAUGUGUAUACUUUGGCUAACAGAGGGGUAUAUUUGACUACUUUGACUAACAGAGGGGUAUAUUUGACUACUUUGACUAACAGAGGGUAAAUUUAACCAAUAAACUAAAGUAGAGGGGUAUAUUUGACCCUUUUCUCUUUUUUUUUUUAUUCUCUAGCUUACCGAAAAAGUUACGGUACUCAACAAUUACGUAGUUCUUCCUUUGAAAAACUCUUCAAAUUGUUUGAUUCCAAGGCAACAAAGGAAAAGGAGGAUGGCAUUCCAGUUUCUGAGUGUUGAUAAUGAUGAUACAUAUGACCACGACGGGAAUCGGCAUUUUGAUGAUCAUGACUUUGCCGCGGUUGUUCCUGAAGGAAAUAUGCCUGCUGAGCAAACUAAGUCAAAUGUCAAGGUAAAUGAGGGAGUUACUGCUGGUUUGGCAAAUGAGGAAGUUAGUGGUGGUGAGGCAAAUGAGGGAGUUAUUGGUGGUGUUUUUGGGGCAGCGGAAACACCUGUUGUGAAUGAUUCAAACACGUGGUAUGACAAUGAACUCACUAAUGAAGUUUUGGUGAAGUUAAACAUGUCUCAAAUUGUGCUUCAUAGGCAACAUGUCAAAAAAGAAGACAUGACACUCGAAGAAUUGGCUCGGAAAAAGUUUCCAACAAAAUGUGUUUCAUCUCCAUUUGUGGUAGAUUUUGGUUAUGAUAUAAGUGGCACAUCAAACUCAGCGCCCAAGUGCAUUUCUGAGGAGACGUAUUCUUUUGUGAAAAACAUUGAUGAGUUUGAUCCCUAUUCACCUGAGGGUAGAGCAUUUGCUGAGUUUGUUGAUGAUGGGAUGAAUUCAACACAAAUAGCCAAAGAAGUUUAUCCAGUGGAAAAAAUAAUCUGCCCGUGCCUUUUAUUUUUGGAUCAAUUUAUGUGACGAGAAGGGAUUAGUUCCACACGAUUUCAUACAGCGGUCAACUUUUAUCUGACGAGGUAUGUGAUUUUCUUAUAAUUUUCAAUGUUUCUAUUCUAGAUGAAUCGUGAAUUGGAGGGUUAUGAAGCAGUGUAUAAACCUUUAUAUGAACUAUGGCAAUUAGCGUUGCUUUUGUAUUAUGAUGCCAAUGUAAAACAUUGUUUGCAGGAUAUGAUAUUUCUUCAUUCUUGCUAUGAACUUUUCUUCUUCUUUGUUGUGAAAGUCUAUUAUUCUUGCAUACCACCCCUUGACAUAUGGAAUGAGUUCUCAUGUGAAUAAUUUUGAAUGUUGCAGUUCGUCUUAAAUACGUAUUUGGGACUGUCUUGAAUUCGUUUUUAUUUUUUGGGGGUUUUCGCAUCCUGUGAAUUCCUAGGUUAUCGCGAAAUUGGUCUAGUGAACUUUAGUAAUAUGGACUUUAUAUUAUAUAAGUGAUAUGCCAUAUUUUGUACUUCUUUUAAAAAUUUUGUGGAUUCACCAGUUGAUCAAUGUGAGUCUGAUUUGAGUGGUGUGUUGAUAAUUCCACAUCUUCCAGUAAAAUAAUUCCAGACCUCCUUUGCUAUAUCUCCUUUCCAAGAUGACAUGUUCAAUUCUUUCCAAUUUAUGCUCUCUGCAAUAAUGGCAUCUGGAUAGGCGAACCUGCAAAGUCUUAUCAUCAGUAGGUAAACUAUUUGUUAGCAUUCUUAAAAUAAAAAAGAAAACUUUAAGAGGGAGUUUAGGAUGCCAACUUUUCCUAGAAGUUAAGAAAAUUGUAUUAAAUUUUCUCAAACUUCUCCAAGCUGAUUUACACUAAAAAAAACUUCCUGUAGUUUCAGGGAUCUAGAUUGGGAAUCCUUUUCUGCAUCAAGAAUUAUGAGUCCCUGAAUAGGCUCAGAAUGUGAGGUGGUGUUGUGUCCAUCAGCUUUGGCAUGUUCCAUGUUCUAUUCUGCAUGUAUUUAUAAAUUUUGAUACACUUUGAACUUUCCUGAUAAUUAAGGAGGUUUGAGGCCUUUUUCAGUCCAUAUUUGUGAUCUCAACUUUAUGUAAGCUGUAUUUGUUUUUUUGAAUUCAACUGAAUAUUUUAAAUUAGAGGUGAUAGGGAAGUUGGAAAGUGUUGAUGAAUGUUUCUCUUGCUGCGGGUAGUUCAGGGUGUAGUUUAGUUGCUGUUUAGCAAGUUCUAAAGUUUUUUGGAUUGAUUCACUAAUAAUUGUUACUUUACUUCUAUUUUCCUAUCUCAGCACAUUGAUGUCAUAUUUUACUAUUUGAGGAAACAGGGUAAAUAUGAUCCUACUGUUGCUGUAUGGUUCACGACAACUGACUGAUUUUUUGGUGGCAAGAUUACUGAAUUCUAUUAAAAGUAUGUAAAGGCUAACCAUGAUAUUGCUAUUAUUCCUGAAGUUAAUGAGAUAUCUCAGUAUAUUCAAGGCUUUUACUGUGAUGUAAAUGUACCGUGGGACACAGUUGACCACGUGUUAAUUCCGAUUCAUGUCAAGUGUGCAAAAAAAAAGAUACAGGUCACCGGGUCUUGGGUGUGCUUACGUUCAAGGAUAGGUGCAUCCACGUAUAUGACUCUAACCGUGGUGCUUUGAAUGAUUCUUUUGUUACAAAAGCACUAUUGCCUUUUGCAUUCAUGAUACCUCAAUUCUUGACAAGUACCGGAUUCUAUGACAAGAUGAGCGACAUUGAUUUGAAAAAUGAUGCAUAUGCUGAUAGAGAACUAUCUAACCAUUGUUGGUCAAUUUGUUCAUUGAUCUGCCACAUCAGUUCAAUGCGGAUUGUGGUGCUUUUAUUGCUGCCUCUGCUGAGUAUUUCAUCAUGGGAAAAAAAAUAGACAAGAAGAAUUUCGACAUCGACACAUAUCGUGCAAGAAUUGGAUCCCAGUUGUGGCAAUAUGGAUUGAAGAAACAAAGAUCUUGGUGUCGUGAGAGAUGAUGAGGUCAAGGGCAGGAUCGACACGAAGAAGAAGAAGAAGAAGAGGGGGCGGCCAAAAAAUCCGAGAAACGUAGUUCAUUUGUAGUUUCACUGUACUUAUUAGGAGUAAUUGAUGUUCGGUUUUGUUAAAGUACCGCUUUUGAUGAAUCACAAUACCUUUUUCCUAUUCGCGAAAGCAAAAAACUACUGUGACUAAUUAGUUUGUUAUGCAUAUUUUGUGUAAUUGACUCUUGUAAAAAUCUUAAGGCAUGGACCAAUUAUGGAAUUAUAGUUUUGCAUCUGAUUUCUCUUACCGAAUGAUUGUUAGUCA